rnacentral:rRNA from 1 species
GAUGAACGCUAGCUACAGGCUUAACACAUGCAAGUCGAGGGGUAACGAGAGGAAAGCUUGCUUUCCUUGUCGACGACCGGCGCACGGGUGAGUAACGCGUAUCCAACCUGCCCCCAACUAGGGAAUAACCUUGCGAAAGUAAGACUAAUACCCUAUAAUUUCCUCAGAUGACAUCUGACGAGGAAUAAAGAUUUAUCGGUUGUGGAUGGGGAUGCGUCUGAUUAGCUUGUUGGCGGGGUAACGGCCCACCAAGGCAACGAUCAGUAGGGGUUCUGAGAGGAAGGUCCCCAACAUUGGAACUGAGACACGGUCCAAACUCCUACGGGAGGCAGCAGUGAGGAAUAUUGGUCAAUGGUCGGAAGCCUGAACCAGCCAAGUAGCGUGCAGGAUGACGGCCCUAUGGGUUGUAAACUGCUUUUAUACAGGAAUAAAGUUAGCCACGUGUGGUUAUUUGUAGGUACUGUAUGAAUAAGGACCGGCUAAUUCCGUGCCAGCCGCCGCGGUAA